rnacentral:misc_RNA from 1 species
UUGCCUAGUUACAGAGGGGACAACGUGAAUGGAGAUGCUUUCGACGCGAAUUCUAGGGUUCCUGACCCACAGAGGAUGAUCAGGGCUUACAGCCAAUCAGCAGCAACUUUGAAUCUUCUUCGGGCGUUUGCUACCGGUGGAUAUGCUGCCAUGCAGAGGGUUACUCAGUGGAAUCUGGAUUUCGCACAAAAUAGUGAGCAGGGAGACAGGUACCGGGAACUUGCAC